ACACAUCCAAGCAGGUGCCAAGAAAGUUAUCAUCACUGCUCCUGUAAAGGGUGCUGAUAUUCCAACUUAUGUUGUUGGAGUGAAUGAACAAAACUACGGCCAUGAAGUAGCCGACAUCAUAAGGAAUUGUUAAGGGAACCAUGACAACUACACACUCCUACACAGGAGACCAGAGGCUUCUGGAUGCUUCACACAGGGACUUGAGAAGAGCUAGGGCUGCAGCACUGAACAUUGUUCCCACCAGCAUAGGAGCAGCCAAGGUUGUAUCUCUAGUGUUGCCACAGCUCAAGGGAAAGCUCAACAGAAUCGCCCUCCGCGUGCCUACACCUAAUGUUUCGGCUGUUGACCUUGUGGUGAAU